rnacentral:rRNA from 1 species
UACGUAGGUGACAAGCGUUGUCCGGAAUCAUUGGGCGUAAAGAGCGUGUAGGCGGUUCGGUAAGUCGGCUGUGAAAGUCCAGGGCUCAACCCUGGGAUGCCGGUCGAUACUGCCGGACUAGAGUUCGGAAGAGGCGAGUGGAAUUCCCCGGUGUAGCGGUGAAAUGCGCAGAUAUCGGGAGGAACACCUAUGGCGAAGGCAGCUCGCUGGGACGUUACUGACGCUGAGACGCGAAAGCGUGGGGAGCAAACAGG